rnacentral:rRNA from 1 species
UACGGAGGGUGCGAGCGUUGUCCGGAAUCACUGGGCGUAAAGGGCGCGUAGGCGGGCAUUUAAGUCAGUGGUGAAAUACCUGAGCUUAACUUGGGGACUGCCAUUGAUACUAUUUGUCUUGAAUGUCGUGGAGGUUAGCGGAAUAUGUCAUGUAGCGGUGAAAUGCUUAGAUAUGACAUAGAACACCUAUUGCGAAGGCAGCUAACUACGCGAAUAUUGACGCUGAGGCACGAAAGCGUGGGGAUCAAACAGG